CUGAUUCCCAAAGUCUGAAAUGCUUGGUAAUUAAAUAAUGUGUUCUUACUGAUGCUGAUUCUACUCACCUUUUUUCUUACCCUUCUUUUCUUUAGGUAGAAUACUCCCAAUUCCAUUCAUUCUUACAUAUAUCUUCAAUUACAUUUUCAGUUCAUUUGGUUACACCCCUUUGAUCUCCCAGUUUUUGGUGAAGACUCUUGUUAGAGCUAUUAGUGGGAGAAAUCUAUUUGUCUGUACUUGUACUCACCACUUUUGAACAAGAUACUUUUGUACAAAAGUUUUGGCAUCAGAGUCUUCCUUCAUCUGAGGGCCUUGAACUAUACAUAUAAAGGAAUUAAUAGAUGUAAAAUAUAAGGAGGAUUACCUUCAGUUUCUGUAUUUUCCUUCUGUUUUCAUCACCCACUAUCUUGAUUGUUAUUUUAACAAUAGUGCUGUGCUGCUCCUCUGUGGUCCAAUUUUUCUUGGUCUCAGUGGGAAGGCCUCUCUUUUAUUUAUCUGUUUGUUCCUAUUAUGUGGAAAUUAAACUUUAAGUGGCUAUACACCUGUUUAUUCAUUCUGCAAGUGGUAUUGCUCACUGUGAGUGGUUGUUUUUGAUGCUAAUACUGCUUCUUGCCUUGUUUUAUUUGGAUUCCUGACAUGUUUUCAGGCCUGCAGUAUCUAAUAAAUAACAGUAAUGAA
rnacentral:lncRNA from 1 species